AGCGAAACGGGAAGAGCCCAAACCAACAAGCUUGCUUGUUGGGGUUGUAGGACACUCUAUACGGAGUUACAAAGGACGACAUUAGACGAAUCAUCUGGAAAGAUGAAUCAAAGAAGGUAAUAAUCCUGUAGUCGAAAAUGUUGUCUCUCUUGAGUGGAUCCUGAGUACGACGGAGCACGUGAAAUUCCGUCGGAAUCUGGGAGGACCAUCUCCUAAGGCUAAAUACUCUCUAGUGACCGAUAGUGAACCAGUACCGUGAGGGAAAGGUGAAAAGCACCCCGGAAGGGGAGUGAAAUAGAACCUGAAACCGUGUGCUUACAAGUAGUCAGAGCCCGUUAAUGGGUGAUGGCGUGCCUUUUGUAGAAUGAACCGGCGAGUUACGAUUUGAUGCAAGGUUAAGCAGUAAAUGUGGAGCCGUAGCGAAAGCGAGUCUGAAUAGGGCGUUUAGUAUUUGGUCGUAGACCCGAAACCAGGUGAUCUACCCUUGGUCAGGUUGAAGUUCAGGUAACACUGAAUGGAGGACCGAACCGACUUACGUUGAAAAGUGAGCGGAUGAACUGAGGGUAGCGGAGAAAUUCCAAUCGAACCUGGAGAUAGCUGGUUCUCUCCGAAAUAGCUUUAGGGCUAGCCUCAAGUGAUGAUUAUUGGAGGUAGAGCACUGUUUGGACGAGGGGCCCCUCUCGGGUUACCGAAUUCAGACAAACUCCGAAUGCCAAUUAAUUUAACUUGGGAGUCAGAACAUGGGUGAUAAGGUCCGUGUUCGAAAGGGAAACAGCCCAGACCACCAGCUAAGGUCCCAAAAUAUAUGUUAAGUGGAAAAGGAUGUGGCGUUGCCCAGACAACUAGGAUGUUGGCUUAGAAGCAGCCAUCAUUUAAAGAGUGCGUAAUAGCUCACUAGUCGAGUGACACUGCGCCGAAAAUGUACCGGGGCUAAACAUAUUACCGAAGCUGUGGAUUGUCCUUUGGACAAUGGUAGGAGAGCGUUCUAAGGGCGUUGAAGCAUGAUCGUAAGGACAUGUGGAGCGCUUAGAAGUGAGAAUGCCGGUGUGAGUAGCGAAAGACGGGUGAGAAUCCCGUCCACCGAUUGACUAAGGUUUCCAGAGGAAGGCUCGUCCGCUCUGGGUUAGUCGGGUCCUAAGCUGAGGCCGACAGGCGUAGGCGAUGGAUAACAGGUUGAUAUUCCUGUACCACCUAUAAUCGUUUUAAUCGAUGGGGGGACGCAGUAGGAUAGGCGAAGCGUGCGAUUGGAUUGCACGUCUAAGCAGUAAGGCUGAGUAUUAGGCAAAUCCGGUACUCGUUAAGGCUAAGCUGUGAUGGGGAGAAGACAUUGUGUCUUCGAGUCGUUGAUUUCACACUGCCGAGAAAAGCCUCUAGAUAGAAAAUAGGUGCCCGUACCGCAAACCGACACAGGUAGUCAAGAUGAGAAUUCUAAGGUGAGCGAGCGAACUCUCGUUAAGGAACUCGGCAAAAUGACCCCGUAACUUCGGGAGAAGGGGUGCUCUUUAGGGUUAACGCCCAGAAGAGCCGCAGUGAAUAGGCCCAAGCGACUGUUUAUCAAAAACACAGGUCUCUGCUAAACCGUAAGGUGAUGUAUAGGGGCUGACGCCUGCCCGGUGCUGGAAGGUUAAGAGGAGUGGUUAGCUUCUGCGAAGCUACGAAUCGAAGCCCCAGUAAACGGCGGCCGUAACUAUAACGGUCCUAAGGUAGCGAAAUUCCUUGUCGGGUAAGUUCCGACCCGCACGAAAGGCGUAACGAUUUGGGCACUGUCUCAACGAGAGACUCGGUGAAAUCAUAGUACCUGUGAAGAUGCAGGUUACCCGCGACAGGACGGAAAGACCCCGUGGAGCUUUACUGUAGCCUGAUAUUGAAAUUCGGCACAGCUUGUACAGGAUAGGUAGGAGCCUUUGAAACGUGAGCGCUAGCUUACGUGGAGGCGCUGGUGGGAUACUACCCUAGCUGUGUU
rnacentral:rRNA from 1 species